rnacentral:rRNA from 1 species
CCUACGGGUGGCAGCAGUGAGGAAUAUUGGUCAAUGGGCGCGAGCCUGAACCAGCCAAGUAGCGUGAAGGAUGACGGACCUACGGGUUGUAAACUUCUUUUAUAAAGGAAUAAAGUGAGGCACGUGUGCCUUUUUGGAUGUACUUUCUAAGUAAGGACCGGCGAACUACGUGCCAGCAGCCGAGGUAAUACGUAGGUGCCGAGCGUUAUCCGGAUUUAUUGGGUAUAAAGGGAGCGUAGAUGGGUUGGUAAGUCAGUUGUGAAAGUUUGCGGCUCACGCGUAAAAUUGCAAUUGAUACUGGCAGUCUUGAGUACAGUUGAGGUAGGCGGAAUUCGUGGUGUAGCGGUGAAAUGCGUAGAUAUCACGAAGAACUCCGGUUGCGAAGGCAGCCUACUAAACUGCCACUGACAUUGAUGCUCGAAAGUGUGGGGAGCAAACAGGAUUAGAUACCCCUGUAGUC